rnacentral:rRNA from 1 species
GACGAACGCUGGCGGCGUGCUUAACACAUGCAAGUCGAACGGAAAGGCCCUGCUUUUGUGGGGUGCUCGAGUGGCGAACGGGUGAGUAACACGUGAGUAACCUGCCCUUGACUUUGGGAUAACUUCAGGAAACUGGGGCUAAUACCGGAUAGGAGCUCCUGCUGCAUGGUGGGGGUUGGAAAGUUUCGGCGGUUGGGGAUGGACUCGCGGCUUAUCCGCUUGUUGGUGGGGUAGGGGAUUACGAAGGCUUUGACGGGUAGCCGGCCUGCGAGGGGGACCGGCCACAUGGGGACUGAGAUACGGCCCAGACUCCUACGGGAGGCAGCAGUGGGGAAUAUUGCACAAUGGGCGGAAGCCUGAGGCAGCAACGCCGCGUGCGGGAUGACGGCCUUCGGGUUGUAAACCGCUUUCGCCUGUGACGAAGCGUGAGUGACGGUAAUGGGUAAAGAAGCACCGGCUAACUACGUG